rnacentral:rRNA from 1 species
GACAGAGGGUGCAAACGUUGUUCGGAAUUACUGGGCGUAAAGCGUGCGCAGGCGGUUAUGUAAGACAGUUGUGAAAUCCCCGGGCUCAACCUGGGAACUGCAUCUGUGACUGCAUGGCUAGAGUGCGGCAGAGGGGGAUGGAAUUCCGCGUGUAGCAGUGAAAUGCGUAGAUAUGCGGAGGAACACCGAUGGCGAAGGCAAUCCCCUGGGCCUGCACUGACGCUCAUGCACGAAAGCGUGGGGAGUAAACAGG